UGAAGAUGCCUCUGGAUGAAGCUGCUU
rnacentral:piRNA from 1 species